AUUGAACGCUGGCGGCAGGCCUAACACAUGCAAGUAGAACGAGUGGCGGACGGGUGAGUAAUGUCUGGGAAACUGCCCGAUGGAGGGGGAUAACUACUGGAAACGGUAGCUAAUACCGCAUACCAUCGGAUCUGCCCAGAUGGGAUUAGCUAGUAGGUGGGGUAACGGCGCACGUAGGCGACGAUCCCCAGCUGGUCUGACAGGAUGACCAGCCACACAGGAACUUAGACACGGUCCAUACUCCUACGGGAGGCAGCAGUGGGGAAUAUUGCACAAUGGGCGCAAGCCUGAUGCAGACAUGCCGCGUGUAUGAAGAUGGCCUUCGGGUUGUAAAGUACUUUCAGCGAGGAGGCGUUACUCGCAGAAGAAGCACCGGCUAACUCCGUGCCAGCAGCCGCGGUAAUUC
rnacentral:rRNA from 1 species